GGCUCGGUAGCUUAGUUGGUAAAGCGCUCGUCUAACAUACAACAGUCCUGGGUUCAAAUCCCAGCCGAGCAC
rfam:Aedes aegypti strain Liverpool supercont1.334 genomic scaffold, whole genome shotgun sequence.